UGCCUCUACAAGCCCAGGACUCAGAAGAUUGCCGGCAAGUCCCCAGAAGCUAGGGGAGAGGCAUGGAACAGAUUCUUCCUCACAGCCCUCAGAAGGAACCCACCAUACCCAUACCUGGAUUGUGGGCUUCUAGCCUCCAAAACUGUGGGACAAUCUGUUUCUGUUUGUGAAGCCACCCAGUCUGUAUUACUUCUUAUGGCAGCCCGAGCAAAUGAAUAAAGUAUGUCUAGGCUUUAGGCUUCUAGAGCUUUAGAGGUGAUGACCUACCAUGUACAGGCUUUGGAGAGGCAGCACAGUGUGGUCGCAAGAGAGUGGGCUGGCAGCUGGGGACAGUCCCAGCUCUGCCACUGACUUGCUGGGCUAGUCUUCCUGCCUGUGAACUGAGGGGGUGGGACUGCAAGAUUUCUAGGGUCCUUCCCAGCCCUGACUUUUCCUAUUUGAGGAGCUGUGAAGAGGAGGCCAAGCAAGGUCAGGUGGCACAAUCCAGGUCACCCAGAGGGUUAAUCGGAAGUGGUCCCAGGAACAGCGUCUCGCCAAUUGCAUGAUGAUUGCUCCUUUGCCCGAGAUGCCUCCCAGCAGAGUCUACAGCAAGCCUGACCUUCUCUGAUCCUCUGUUCUCAGCCCCUGGGUGGCCUUGGUGCUGUGUGGGUCUGAUAAGGCCCUGGCUAUUUGGAAAGGUGGCUUCCUGCAGGAGGGAGUAUGAGGAGGGCCCUGCUGGUGUCCUGCGAGUUCUUGCACUGCCUCCCUAGGCUGCCUGGAUAGAAGGCAGAGGCCUGGGACCCACUGUGCAGUGGCACAAUAUGUCUUUGUCUGGCCAGGGCUUCUGGGGAUCAUGGAGGCUGAUCACAUAUCCAUUCUCCCCAGUAUUUUCUUGGAGUCCCUGGCGGAAGGCUCGAUGCUCUGGCUGGCCUGCUGACUUCCCUUCCUGCCUGAUUCCAGGGCCUUCUUAGAACUAGCCUAGGGACUCAGGCUGGUCCACACCAAAUGGAUGGCAGCAUUUAAAAACUAACAGUUUGCAGUUGUCAGGUUGUUGCUGAGUGGCCCUCUGACUCCCUUGCCUUUCAGUGUCUGAAACAGUGUAUCCAAGGGAGGUCUACAGUGAGAUGCUGCAAGUCUCUGUCCUCACAGGGCUACUGCGGUACGUCCAGUUGUCAGUUUCACGGAGCUGGAAGGGAGAGUAGAGAUGCUGCUUGGCUGAAUGGGAGGUACAAAGAUUCAGUGUUUGAAAACAUGGAUCUUAAAAAUGAC
rnacentral:lncRNA from 1 species